rnacentral:rRNA from 1 species
UAGUUAAUUCUUAUUAGGGUUUGUUAAGUUUAAGGGUUAUUAAAUACAAAUUAUUGGUGUAUUUAUUUGGUUAGUAAAAGAAUUGAAUAUCAAUUGUUAGAUGAUAGUGUAGAAGUAUUGUAAAAGAAAGUUUAGUUGUAGUAUUUUUAUUAAAAGAAGUAUUUAAUAUAUGUACCUUUUGUAUCAGGGACAGACAAUUUAUUUGUUGUAUAGAUUAAAUCCCGAAAUAAUAGGAGCUACUCUAUAAUAAUUUUUUGCGUGGCAAAGUAAUAUUAAAUUGUAGAAUAGUAAUGAUAUUUUAAUCGACUGUUAUAUAUCUGGUUCCUUCUGAGAAAAAUUUAAUUUUAAAGGUAGUUUAAAAAAAUUAUUUUUUUAGUGCGGGAGGUAUGAGCUUUUCGUAUAAUUAUAUAUUAGAAAUGGAGUUUAUUUGAAUUUAGCUUGGCUUAAAAUCAGCUGUGUUAAUAGGACGUUUUAGUUAAGGUUGUGUUUUAUUAAAAUUUAUAUGUUUUUAUAUGUGCUUAAGGAGGAUUGUAGUUUAUUUUAAAAUCUUUAGUUAAAAUGUUUGUAUUAGUAGGGUUAAGUUUGUUUAAUUAAUGAACAAGUUGUCAUUAGGUCUUUAAUGGUUUAUUGGUGUAUAAGAGGAACUCGGCAAAAAUAACUCUUGCCUGUUUAUCAAAAACAUGUCUGUAUGAUUUAUUAAUAUAAAGUCUGGCCUGCCCACUGAAGUUAUUUAAAGGGCCGCGGUAAUUUGACCGUGCGAAGGUAGCAUAAUCAGUAGUCUUUUAAUUGGAGGCUGGAAUGAAUGGUCGGACAAGGAGUUAGCUGUCUUUUAUAUAAAGUUUGAAUUUUACUUUUAAGUGAAAAGGCUUAAAUGAAUUAGGGGGACGAUAAGACCCUAUAAAACUUUACAAGCGAAGAUUUGUAUUUUUUAAAUUAAAGUAUAACGUUAUGUACUGUUCUGUUUGUUAUGUUGGGGCGACAAAGAUAUAAUAAGUAACUGUUAAUUUUAUUGAAUAGUGAUAAUUAGUUUAAUUGAUCCUCUCUUAGAGAUUACAAGAUUAAGUUACUUUAGGGAUAACAGCGUAAUUUUCUCUGAGAGUUCUUAUCGACGGGAAUAGUUGCGACCUCGAUGUUGAAUUAAGAUUUCCUUUAGGUGAAGCAGUUUAAGGGGUAGGUCUGUUCGACCUUUAAAAUCUUACAUGAUUUGAGUUCAAACCGGUGUGAGCCAGGUUGGUUUCUAUCUUUUAUUUGUUAUAAAGUUGUCUUAGUACGAAAGGAUUGGUCAACUGGAAUAAUUUUUUUUUAAAUGAGUAAUUUUAAUUUG